UAGUAAAACAGGGCACUUUUACCUGUCAGAAUAAAUCUAUAUUGACUAUUUUAAUAAAAAAAAUUCCAGCUGACAGUAUAUGAGAGCCAUCCUCAUCCUCAAGCGAAAGCAGCACCUUGAGGAACAGCUGUAUGCAUCCUGAAAACACUGGGACCCGUCUAGUACAAGCGGUCCAACCAGAACAUCUCUGCUGCGGCUCUCUUUGUGUAGAUGAUUGAAGAAACCUGAGGAAACGUACGCGUUAGCCAGAGGAAGCAGUGAGAAAAAAAAAAAAAGAGCUGAGUAGCGAGAUCCACACCCAGUAACAUGAGCAACACUUGGCUUAUGAAGAAAAAGCUGGAGCAGAUCAAGGCUGAAAUGCAGAGGCUUUCAGAAAGGCACGCUCUUUCUCGCCCUGAACGGAAAGCGUAUCAUCCCUUUGUGUGGAACACCCUGAGUCCUUACAGAGACACCAAAGAGAUUGACUAUGUGAUUGCCACGUCCUCUGGCCAUUGUAACAUGGAUCGAAGAGCUUCUGGAAGACCUGCCCAUCUGUUACACUGACACAUCCUGUCUGUUCAGAAUAUCGGUCAAGUAUGAUUUCUACGUUCUUAAAAAUGAUGAGGAAAGAACAAUUUUGCAUUCUUUAUGACCAUUGCACGUGCCUACCCGAAACUUGCGUGGACACACGUUAAGACUGGCCUUUUCCUUAUUUGCCUGAAAACCCCUUCUUCUCUUCAGUAAAGUCCUUUAGCACAGUUUGUUCAAUGUUUUACAAGCUCCAGCGCUGAUCACGCAGGGUAAGUCAUAAAGACAAACUCAACAUCCCACUGGCAUAUAAGAUUCAAAAAGAAUGACUGUGAUAUAAUUUAUCAUGUCCUUUAUGUGUAAAUCCCAGUCAUAUUUAAAAUUCAGGCAUGUCAGAUCAUUCUACUUGAAGAUGGAUUUCAUAAAAAAAAAAAAAAAAGAAAUAAUUAAAAAAAAAAGGCCUAAAGAGCAUCCUUUAGAUAUGCAUAUGUGCCAUUGUGCACGAAAGCGCUUUGAAACUCUUAGAUGUUCCACGCUGAAACUGAUGAAAGAGAAAGAUGUGUGCAUCCACAUGGUUAGAGGAGAAGUAUUAAAAGAACGCUGCAGCCGGUAUGAAAGGGUGUAAAAUUAUCAAAGAGAUUUAGUAGAAUAAAUUGGCAGGCAGUUCACUAGAGUGAGGGAUUAUGGCGCAAGAAAAGCGUAAAUGUUUAAUGGUUUACUUGCUUUCUCUCUUUCUUUCCUAUUUUUUUUAUUUAUUUAUUCUUGGAAGACAUUCAUGUGUCUAGUUCCUGAUAAAACCCAAAGGAAAAGUAGGUUGCCGUCUUUUUCUUCAUUUCACACCAGAUUUCUUGCUUGAGAAGAAGUUCGCAUGGGCGAAGGCAGAGAUUUAAAGCAUGAGGACUCGGCUUAUUAAAGUUAAGCUACUACAGUUUCCAGUGGACUCAAAUGCAAUUCUUAAACCCUCCUUUUUUUUUUCUUUUUGUCCACUUACCUAAGCACAAAACAAAGUUUUUUUUCUUGGAGGGCUGUGUAAAAAAAGAUUUGGAUUUAUCUGGUAAAAAAAAAAAAAAAAAAAGCACAAAAUAGGCAUUAGAACCACUGGAUACAAGAAUUUGUUUGCUUUCUUUCCCCAAAAGUCAUUUUUUAUUAAUUUUUUUCCCCUUUUCUCCAUUCGCUUUCUGCACUCAGCUCAUUUUGCCCUGAAGUCAAUUUUUAAGCAGCUUUGAAAGACCACUCUCUCUCUCUCUUUUUUUUUUUUGCCAAAGCGCAGUGCAAUUCACCCCAGCAUAUCACUAUUGCUUCAGUCCAGGGUUAUGACAUUUACCAUUAAAUCCACCAGAGACGAGUGAAUACUGGACUUCACCACCUAUUUCAACAAAUUAUAUACUCAAUAUAAUAAUAUGAAUGUAAUUUAAGUGAAAGUGGGGUUUCUUUAUCCUAAACAGGGUUUAAAGCGAUCCUAACUGCGAAGCCUGCCGUUCUGUGAUGGUACUCUGAUGGAACAAUUUGAGUCGACUGUAUAAUAAUGUGUUCAGAAAUUCUUUCGAUCAAGGUUUGAGUAAUAAAUUAUUUCAUGCCUCACAAUUUCACAAAAACCAGUAGUGGAUGAAGUUUUGCACUCACUUUCCAUCGAGAACUUCAACAAUGAUGAAACUAUAAUAAAUGAAUAUUCGGCUGUCUCCCCUUUCGAAUCUGGUUUGUCUCAAGGUUUUUUUCUUAUCUCAUCUCAGAAGGUUUUUCCCUCACCAUCAUUCCCUCGGACUCACUCAUAGACCUUUGGGACAAAUUCAAGAAUUUAAAAUGUAUAUUCUUGAGGUAAUUAUUUUUCUACAGCAACAAUACAAAUAAAAUAGAUUUAAGUACUAGUAAUAAUACCCCAUUCACAUUUUGACUAAAUAUGAUUUAUAUAUAUAUAAUAUAUUUUGAAUGGACUUAAGCAUCAUAAGUAAAAGUAGUGAUCUAUAAGAACUAAAAAAUUGGGACACUGUGUAAAAUGUAAAUAAAAACAUAUAAUAUUGGAACAGGGCCAUGUUUACCAUGUGUAGCAUCACAUCUUAGGUCCAUAUUUAUGGGAACUUGCGAAAUGUUUGGGAUAGGAAUGUUAUUCCAUGUGUGUCUGAUUCAGGAUUCUAGCUGCUUAACGGUUCUGGGUGUCACUUGUUGAAUUUGUCAUUUUAAUGGUGCACCAAAUGUUUUUAAAUAGUGAAAGGUUGACUGUAGGCAGGUCAAUUCAGCACUCUGGCUCUUCUACUACAAAGUCAUGCAUUUACAAUUAUAGCAUUUAGCAGACGCCCUUGUCCAGGGCUAUUGAACAGAUGCAGUUAGCAUUGUCUUGCUCAAAUAUGCAAGGCGGUCCCUGAAAAAGACAUUUUCUGGAUUAAAGCAUUUGUUGCUCUAAAACCUGUGUAUACUAUUCAGCAUUGAAGGAGCCUUUCCAAAUGUGCAAGCUGCUUAUUCCACAGGCACUAAUGCACUGCCAUACCAUUAGAAAUGCGACUUUUUGAACUAAGCGCUGAUAACAAGCCAGAUAGUCCCUCUCUUCUUUAGUCUGGGGUACGUGGUGUCCAUGGUUUCCAAAAACACAAAAACCCUACUAUUUCCCUGCUAAAAUAUGACUUUGGUAUAAAUAAUACAACUUUUACAUUUUGACUUGAGUAAAACUGCUUACAUAUGAAUGGACUUGAAAAUAGAUCCAAAGUAAAAGUAGUGAUCUAUGAGAACUAUAUGUGAAUAAUGGAUGCGGUUCAGUGCUCCAUACUCCUGCACAUCAGAGCUUUUAAAGAAAAGAGUUUUCUAUAGUUACAGACACACACUCUCGACAAAAGUGUUGGUUUAUGCUUGUGCUCACACCCGAGCUUCUUAUUUAACAUGAUUUAUGAUUUCACUUCAAAGAAGUGAGGAACGGCAUGUUUUUUGUUGUUGUUGUUUUUGAAGUAUUGGCAUAUAAAGCAAGAUGAUAUUCACAUUCGAAUGAAGUGUGUUUUUUUUUUAGUGUUUAAAGUAGAUAUACGUGAUGGUUCCCUGGUGGUCUAGUAGUUGGGAUGUGGAGCUCUCAACACGGCGGCCCGGGUUCGAUCCCCGGUCAGGGAACCAACCCCAGCCAUUAGGGUUGCACAAGCCUUAGUGCCGGUCCCAAGCCCGGAUAAAUAGGGAGGGUUGCAUUAGGAAGGGCAUCCAGCGUAAAAACGUGCCAAAUCAAACAUGAGGAUGAUCCGCUGUGGCACACACACUACAUGGACCAAAUUUUCAGAACACCUCAUUAGAUUUGAAUGUACUUUAUGAAUAUCUCCUUACACAGUUAGUUCCUAUUUGGUCUUAUAAUAACCUCCAGUC